UACAGAGGUCUCAAGCGUUGUUCGGAUUCAUUGGGCGUAAAGGGUGUGUAGGUGGCGCCGUAAGUCGGGUGUGGAAAUUUCGGAGCUUAACUCCGAAACUGCAUUCGAUACUGCGGUGCUUGAGGACUGGAGAGGAGACUGGAAUUUACGGUGUAGCAGUGAAAUGCGUAGAUAUCGUAAGGAAGACCAGUGGCGAAGGCGGGUCUCUGGACAGUUCCUGACACUGAGACACGAAGGCCAGGGGAGCAAACGGGG
rnacentral:rRNA from 1 species